ACCCCUGUAGUGCAAUUGAUAGCACGUUGGACUUCUAAUCCUAAGGUUGUAAAUUCGAAUCUCACCUGGGAUG